rnacentral:misc_RNA from 1 species
AAGUCGUAACAAGGUUUCCGUAGGUGAACCUGCGGAAGGAUCAUUGACGAGGUUAGGGGAGGAGAGAGAAGAGCAGGCAUAUUAAGCCUGAGAGAGAAAACAAGGCGUGGACACUGAAUAUUACAACUUUUAACAAUGGAUCUCUAGGCUCUU